GGGAGACCAACAGGACUCGUUAUGAACCCUAGAGGUCAGCCCGGAGACCAAGAGGACUCGUUAUGAACCCUGGAGGUCAGACCGGAGACCAAGAGCACUCAGGACUCGCCACAAAGCAACAGAAGCAGGACAGGAGACCAACAGGAAUCGUUAUGAACCCUAGAGGUCAGCCCGGAGACCAAGAGGACUCGCUAGAAAGCAGCAGAAGCAGGCAGGGAGACCAAC